CAGCCGCCACGGUAAUACGUAGGUGGCAAGCGUUGUCCGGAAUUAUUGGGCGUAAAGGGCUCGCAGGCGGUUUCUUAAGUCUGAUGUGAAAGCCCCCGGCUCAACCGGGGAGGUUCAUUGGAAACUGGGAAACUUGAGUGCAGAAGAGGAGAGUGGAAUUCCACGUGUAGCGGUGAAAUGCGUAGAGAUGUGGAGGAACACCAGUGGCGAAGGCGACUCUCUGGUCUGUAACUGACGCUGAGGAGCGAAAGCGUGGGGAGCGAACAGGAUUAGAUACCCGGGUAGUCCCUGUCUCUUAUAC
rnacentral:rRNA from 1 species